UGAUGGACAACAGGUUGAUAUUCCUGUACCACCUCCUCACCAUUUGAGCAAUGGGGGGACGCAGGAGGAUAGGGUAAGCGCGGUAUUGGAUAUCCGCGUCCAAGCAGUUAGGCUGGGAAAUAGGCAAAUCCGUUUCCCAUAAGGCUGAGCUGUGAUGGCGAGCGAAAUAUAGUAGCGAAGUUCCUGAUUCCACACUGCCAAGAAAAGCCUCUAGCGAGGUGAGAGGUGCCCGUACCGCAAACCGUCACAGGUAGGCGAGGAGAGAAUCCUAAGGUGAUCGAGAGAACUCUCGUUAAGGAACUCGGCAAAAUGACCCCGUAACUUCGGGAGAAGGGGUGCUCUGUUAGGGUGCAAGCCCGAGAGAGCCGCAGUGAAUAGGCCCAGGCGACUGUUUAGCAAAAACACAGGUCUCUGCGAAGCCGUAAGGCGAAGUAUAGGGGCUGACGCCUGCCCGGUGCUGGAAGGUUAAGAGGAGCGCUUAGCGUAAGCGAAGGUGCGAAUUGAAGCCCCAGUAAACGGCGGCCGUAACAAUAACGGUCCUAAGGUAGCGAAAUUCCUUGUCGGGUAAGUUCCGACCCGCACGAAAGGCGCAACGAUCUGGGCACUGUCUCAACGAGAGACUCGGUGAAAUUAUAGUACCUGUGAAGAUGCAGGUUACCCGCGACAGGACGGAAAGACCCCGUGGAGCUUUACUGCAGCCUGAUAUUGAAUGUUGGUACAGCUUGUACAGGAUAGGUAGGAGCCUUGGAAACCGGAGCGCCAGCUUCGGUGGAGGCAUCGGUGGGAUACUACCCUGGCUGUAUUGACCUUCUAACCCGCCGCCCUUAUCGGGCGGGGAGACAGUGUCAGGUGGGCAGUUUGACUGGGGCGGUCGCCUCCUAAAAGGUAACGGAGGCGCCCAAAGGUUCCCUCAGAAUGGUUGGAAAUCAUUCGCAGAGUGUAAAGGCACAAGGGAGCUUGACUGCGAGACCUACAAGUCGAGCAGGGACGAAAGUCGGGCUUAGUGAUCCGGUGGUUCCGCAUGGAAGGGCCAUCGCUCAACGGAUAAAAGCUACCCCGGGGAUAACAGGCUUAUCUCCCCCAAGAGUCCACAUCGACGGGGAAGUUUGGCACCUCGAUGUCGGCUCAUCGCAUCCUGGGGCUGUAGUCGGUCCCAAGGGUUGGGCUGUUCGCCCAUUAAAGCGGUACGCGAGCUGGGUUCAGAACGUCGUGAGACAGUUCGGUCCCUAUCCGUCGCGGGCGCAGGAAAUUUGAGAGGAGCUGUCCAUAGUACGAGAGGACCGGGAUGGACGCACCGCUGGUGUACCAGUUGUUCUGCCAAGGGCAUCGCUGGGUAGCUAUGUGCGGACGGGAUAAGUGCUGAAAGCAUCUAAGCAUGAAGCCCCCCUCAAGAUGAGAUUUCCCAUUCCGCAAGGAAGUAAGAUCCCUGAAAGAUGAUCAGGUUGAUAGGUCUGAGGUGGAAGUGUGGCAACACAUGGAGCUGACAGAUACUAAUCGAUCGAGGACUUAACC
rnacentral:rRNA from 1 species